GUGUGUGUGUGUGUGUGACAACAAGAAGUUUAAUGCUGCUGGAGUGGGACCAACGGCGGUAAAUGAGGCUGUAGCAAUUGAUAGAGGACCAUGAAGGAUUUGGUUUUCUAAGGAGUUUCACUGACUCCUGUAGACAAUGGGAGAAGCCCAGUGGAAUGGCAUUUUGCUAGAAGUGUGACAAAUCGAUUGGAGAAGGGAAGACUAGACCUGGGGAGACCAGGGAGCGGUUAGGAGGUGAGCUGGUGCACUAGACCAGAGGAGUGAUGGUGGCGUGGGCCAUGGUGCAAGGGGCAGAGAGACUUGGUGAUUGAUUGGGUUGCCAACCAAUCAGGGUGGGAGAGAAGGAAGCGCUAGAGAUGAUGCCUGGGUUUGCAAAGCCAUCAGUAAUUUUUUCUCAUUAACAAGAGGAUCGUAAGGGGAAUAGUGAUUGUAUUUUCUGUGAUAGGUGAGCCCUCAUUUUUCUUAUUUUUAAAAGCGAACCCUUUACGGCACUUACUAGGUGCCACACACUUUUCUAAGCCCUUUACAUAUAUUCCACCCACUCAUCUUCAUAAUAACUCCUUGGAGGACUGUGAUUGGCCCUGUUUCACAGAUGAGGAAACUGAGGCACUAAAGGUUAAGAGGCUGGCCUAAGCAUGCCCAGCUAGUUAGUGGCAGUCACGGUUUGGAUCCAGGAAGUCUGGCUCCCUGUCCAUGUCCUCAGCUACUGUGCUGUGUGUUCCUUAUUGUGUGUGCAGUGUAGUGUCCCAGUCAGGGUCCCUCUCUGAACCCGGGCUCAUGUAGAACUUCUUGGACACGGAUGCCAGGCUGGACUGACUCUAGACAGGCAGUGAUUUCAGUUUGAACACUGACAUCGGAUUCCCGGUUUACCCAUCCAGUGAGCUGUUCUCUAGUUAGGCUACAGUCUCCACUCCAGACGUGUUCUUCCUCAGUUUCCUUUAUCACCCUCCUCAGCCUCUUCCUAUUGCUAGGACUCGGCAUGGCCUGAGGCUAGAUGCUCAUGGGUUGUGACACCCUUGGGACCUUCCAUAGCCCUAAACACCAGCACACCUGCCUGGAAGUAGUUCUACACUCGUCCACAGGACUCCAGGAUGAAGCACAGAGCAGCCCCUCACUCCUUCUUUGCCAGUGCAGAGUAAGGCCAGGAACCCCAGGCUGCACUGCAGCCCAGCACCGCCCUCGGGGACACCCCAUUCUCCUGGCGUGAGGGAAGGGGAGCAGAGCCCGACUGGCCGUCCAGGUGAGCACCCCGCUGAGCUGCAGCUCAGAGACUUCGGCAAAUCUGUUGCUCAUUCCUCAGGAGCUCAGAACAAUCCUAACGAGAUGUGAAAAUCAAUGGCUGAUGGAAAAACAAAGCAACCUUCUGAGCAAACUGUGAGUGAGGGGAGUGGCUUCUAAAAGACCUUGACCAGCUACUUGGUUGCAGCCUGUGAAAUGGAGAAUAAGCGACUUUCUUACACGGAUUCAUAAUUUUCUUUUCCAAGCUGGAAAGAGGAGAGAGCCCGGUGACCUGCUGAGUUCCCUUCCUCUCCUCGCUUUCCACUGGCUAAUUCCUCUUGGCCUUCAGGCCUCAACUUUCUUAUUACUGUCUCUGGGACAUUGGCCCUAAUGUUCCAGACUAGACAGACCUUGCACCGCUUGCUGCUCCGAAAGUUCUCAGCUUGUCUCCAACUUACACUCAGGAAACCUACUGAGAUCAUCUGGCUCAUUGCUGGUCUCUGCUUGGAUGGGGGCCGCCCGGGGACAGACUGUGUCUGUCGGGCUCACUGCUAUUCCCCAGGACCUACAAUUGUAAAAGACAUUAAAAAAAUGUUUGACGAGUGAAUAAUGAAACGACUUUAAUUGUCUGUACCAUAGUUUCUUCAUCGGUAAAUAGCGACCGAUCGUAUCUACUUCGCAGGGUUGUGGAGAGGACUCUCUCUGGCAGGUAAUAGGUGUUCAGUUAUUAGCCUCUCAUCAGGCCUGUGAGGUAGCUUGUCCUGUGUUCUGCUAGGUGAUGUUGGUCAGGUGUGGCCACAAGAGAGGACCCAGGAGAGGCACAAGACAAAAAGUCUAUUAUACAUGCAGGUCUUAGAGAGGGGAUCACUGUGUGCCAUGCCAGGUGGUGGUGGGGGUGGUGCCAGGUUUCAGUCAGGUGGUAGAAGACAGGAAUAAGGGGAAAGUAGUAGGCCAGAGCCUUUAUUGUGUUUUCUGUGGGAAACAAGGGGUAAAGUGGAGGAAACAAGUUCAAGAUUGGCUAGUUUGAAUCAUCUUGAAUGGCUCUAAGCCCUAGUUUUCUUAUACUUGGCCCUGGGAUGAUUAGGGCAGAGGAAUAGUCUCCUAGGUGCACAGGCCUCAUAGAGGAGCUAAGUCUCUGGAUUGGUUAUUUUGCAUAGCAAAGGUGUACUCCCAGCUGAGCCUUUAGUGAUCUCUAAGAAUUGACUUGAUUCAGGGGUAGUCUCUCCCCAGGCAGAAAGUUUUUAAGGUGUCAAAAAUCGUUAUACAGAAAACAACAAUAAAAAUAUACUACGUAAGAUUGCUAUCUUUAUUUUAUAGUAGGGACUCUGAGUCCUUUAAAAGUUGCGACUUGUCUAAGGCCAUACACUUGGCAAGUGUUAGGACUUGAACUCAGGUCCAUCUGAUGCUAAAGCUUGAGCUCCUCCUACGCUGCAUCACCACCUCCCCUAGGCAGGCAAGUGGCGUUUGUUGGCUGCUCUGGCUUUCACACUAUGCACCGGCAAUUUUCUGGCUACAUCAAAUGCCCGUCACUGGGAAACUUGAGAAGUUUUGCAGGCCUCAGCGUAAAGAUGCAGUGAGCCCCGUCGCCUCCCUGAGCCUCACCCCAUCCUGUAAGCAGCUGGUCCUUUCCUGUGUGAGCCUGGUCACCACCUAGAUGAAAGCAACCACUGGGCCAUGAUUUCCCCCAGGGCCCUUGCCUGUCCUGGGAAGUCCUGGGAGAGCUCCUGCAUAAUCCCACAGGUGCUCAAGUCCCAGCCCCGGGGGCAGAGGUGGUCUGCGAUGCUUAUCUUCUUCAAACCCCAUUUAGUGCAGGGGCAUCAAGACGAGGUCAGCCUACGUUUCCCCCCGCAUUCCAUUAAA